CCUAAAACUUGGAGACUCUUGGCACUGUUUCAUGCUCGGGUGAUCUCACUUCACCGCAAUCCUUACUGCUCACAUUUUUUCCUGAUGGUAAUGGAAUCACUUCACACAGGUUAUUCUAUACCGUUAGGACCAUGCCUUAUUCCCCAGAGCUGUGAUAGCUAAUGAACUGACACUUUUUGGUACUUUUUAAUUUCAUUUAGCAGUGACAUGAGAAAUUUUCAUUCCUACGUGACAUAAGGCUGAGGUGGGCCUAUUGGUGCAUCUUCCUAGUUUGGGAUGCUUCAAUCUGAUAGCCAGUUGUGAUAUUUACAGAAAGUAAAGCUGGUAGAUAAGCUUAAUGAAUUUCUUAAGCACAUAGAAGUAAACUUAAAAAGCUGGCAGCAAGGCUGCUCAAUUUGCAGUUACUUACAUAGUUCUCUUUUGAGAGUAUUAUCAACCAUUUCAAGGAAAGAAAGGAGAAUAGUUCAGUGAAAAGGUGAACAAAUGGUUGGAGAAAACAAAUAUGUCUUUAAGAGUCUAAAGGUAUAGAGUUAUGACGUACAGUACUUUUGGUGAAAGCUUGCUUUAUAUUAAAAUCGCUAAGUUAGCCUUUUCUGAGUCUCUUUUUCAACAGUCUUCAAGUAAACGAACAAGCUUUAAAGCAUCUGCUUACUGAAGGGAAAGAAGUUCUCACAGAGCUGUCCUGGCUCUUCAUUUGGGGAGAGAAGUGGGGUGUCAGCUCUGAUGUGUUCUACAGCAAGACAUUGUUGCUUACGGGCUGUGUAAUCCUUUCAUUGUAGAAUUUAUUUACUUUUUUUGGUCACAUGGAUGGGGGACUAAAUACAAAUGUGAUAAUGUUGACAGAAGCAGAAAAAUCGCCAGUAUCCUUAAAACCAUUGUGGCUGCAGCUUACAUCAGUGGUUAAACUGAGAGAGCUAUUGUGUUGACCAUUUCUGUGGGGAUUUCUUUUUUUGGCUUGUUUUUUCUUCUUGUGUUGCAUAAGAAUCAUCUUAGAAAGCCAAGCAAGCCUGUAGAUAAUUUUUCCAAUGUAGGUUCUAAUAUGUGGAAUUUUAGGGUUAUAAAAAGUCCUCACAAGUGGUGAAGUGUUCAGAAUCUGUUCAAGAGCAAGAGGAAGCGAAAAUGAGGGCGUGGGAGUGGGGAGUGCAGUGGUGGCUGCACCGAGAUCAGUUACUGACACCAGCAGUAAAGGUGUGCAGAUCGGCACAUGCAGAGAGCAAGAGGCACAUGAACCUGCACUCAGACUCACUGUUGGGUCCGAUUUUCUGUUCCCUUUCCUGUGUUUGGUUUGACAGUACUGCAGCACGGCUGGGGCGUUGAGUAUUUCAAAUGAGAUGAGGGUAUUUUCAGACGACUUUGCAGCUGCUGUGUCUGAGAGGGCUGCACAUCCCUUAUUUGAAUAUCAAAGCUGUAAUUUCAGUAAUUUGAAACUUUUUGGUGCUAAUUGUAUUCUUCUGACAGAUUAGUAAAAAUACUUCAGGACUGUGUAGCUGUAGUGAAAUUGAUUACACCAAGUAUGCUUGAAGAAGAGUUGCAAACUGAAGGUGAUUAUCUCCCCCUCCUCUCUCCCUGCAAGUAGUAGUCUGAAGUAUCUUUCAUCUCCUCAUUUUUAACCCAUUCUGCAACAUCUUGUUGCCACUUGCAUUUGCUCAGUGAGUGUUAGGGUCUGAGCAUGACUGUGAAUUUAAUGUGGAACUUCUAAGGGAACUUCUAACAUGGGAGUGUUUUGUUGUGGUUGCCUUUAGUUUGGAAACAAGCAAACAACAGCAACGAGAAGGAACUGUCUGAUCUCACAGAUUGUCAUCUGUUGUUGGAAAAGUCAAAUUAAGCUAUAACCAAUAUAAGGGGUUGAAUGUUUUGACCCUCCAAGGAUGGCUGCUUAUCUGACCUAUUUCAUAUGGGGAAUUUAGGGAGGAAGAAUAGAAAACUGAAGAUGUGGAAGAUGGAUGUUGAGAAUGAGGAAGAGGUGUUUCUUGAAAGGUCUCUGUAGCUCCUCAGACUAACUGACAGUAGCUGUAGCUGUGGCUUCAUCAGAAGAGUUGUUUAGUCACCCUUUUCUUCAUUGGAGCUACUGGACUUGUUACAGCACUGUUGUCCUGUGACAGUUCCUCUUCUUCCAACUUCUCACCCUCCUGAAUCAUCAUUUUUAGAAAAUGCUUCCCAGCAUGAAACCAUUAAUUAAUGAAGAUCCAUUAAAAGUAUUCCUGCACCCAUUUGUGGUGAACUCCUUUGAUCCCAGCUUGAUCCUGGCCCACAGUGCUGCUUUCCUGCUGUUUGUUACCCUGCACCACAUCACCUGUCCCUGAGCUUUCACCACAUUCCUGCAGGAAUGGUUAAGAACUGCAAUCAAGGUACCCCACUUGUGUUAUGCCCUUACAACUACUCGUGGUGUCCUCCAGAGCUGACUACAAAACACAUACGGCUACUCGAGGCAGGUGCCGCUGCUCUUCUGGUCCAUAGAUGCCCGGUGGGCGAAGCACACAUGUGUGGAGCUUGUCCCCUCCUUGGAGAGAGAGCAACAGGUGACUGUUAGACAGCUGUGAUGGCAACAUACGGUUGACACAUACUGUCUGAAUUUUACACUUUCAAAAUUAAGGCUCAGUCUGACCAUUCCGUGUGGUUCAGCUUCCUGGGAACCUGAUUUCAUUGUUGUGCAAAACUGAAUUCAGUAGCAGUGACAGACCUGAGCUUAGCAGCCUGGAAAACCAAAUCCCAUAAGAGUUUGAAUAGGAACAGGACAAAUCAAACUUUCCUCCUGCUUGAUUGACUUUUUCUAUUUAUUACAGAGAGACGUUUACAACUUAUAUUUGUCCACUCUAGACAUGUGCAAUACUGGAAACAGACCACUCAAUUUGCUAUAUCCAGACUCCGUGCUUGCUUGCAGAUCAAGGGCGCCAUAAAGGAAUGGAAGAAGUCUCCUAAACAGAGGCUUUCAAAUGAGUUUGAAUAUUGUAAAUCAAAAUUAAUACUCUUAAGAUUGACAUGUGAAUGAGUAAGCAGACUCCUCUGACUCCUGAGAACAGGCACAAUGACACCUUUCAUACGGCCAAGAAUAUCAGGUCAUAGGCAUUUGCUCAGUAGUUAAUCAAGGAUGCUAAAAUUGAAUCCCCACCUAGCUUACGUUUGCCAACUUUUCUGUUAAGAGAAAUCAGUAGGAAUAGCAAAAUAUGUAUCUAAAAGCAAGGAGACGUAUUUCCCUUGCCAUGUUCAGAUAGAUUUUUAGCCACAACUAUUCAUGUUGACUAGAAGUCAACAUGUCCCUGAUAUUACCAAUCUCUUUAGGAAACUGGGACUAUUCUUCCCCAGACACUUGUGAGCCGUGGGAUUACAAGAAGGACCCAUUGGACAGUGCUGACAGAUUGGUAUUAUCAGAACAGCUAAUUAUCCAUCAAAGAGAGGAGUAGAAUCAAAUAAAUCCUUAUUUCAGUUAAAGUAUCCUAUUGAUAAAUGAGCAACCAGAGAAAGGAAUGCCCAUUAGCACUCCUAAUGAUAGAAAACCCUCAAAUACUUUAUAUGUACCUUUUAGUAAAGUUCCAUUAGCAGCAAGAACCAUUUGGUCUGCAAUUGCCUUGGUUCUAGAAUAAUGAUUAAAUUGCUAUAAAGAAAGCAGAAUAAGAUAAUUGUUAAAUUAUAUUAAACUUACUGUUUCUGACUGACAACAUUUCAAUCUAGCCAGCUCACAGGUAUCAGCUGAGCAAAACAAAACUAGAAAUAAUAAGAUUUAGUAAAUAUAUAGUUUGUCUAUGACAAAAAACUUAACAGACUUAAAAAUUAGUGGCACAAGCUUAGCUUCAGAGGGAAUUUAAGUCCAUUAGUAUUUAUUUAACUCACUUCUUGAGCUGAAUGUACUGAGAACAUCUGCAGUGAAACAACUGCUCUCAGAACAGCCUUGGCACAAUCUACCCUUUGGAGCACAGUAAAUGCCACACCAUGCCAUGAAUGAAGUACCUUUUCCAGUGGAAAAUAUGGUACAGUUUCUUCAUCUCCUUCUUCUAUAGGAUUCCCUCCAAACACCACAUUCACUGUACUGGUAUAUAUCAGUCUAGGGAUAUUUCUUUGUUUGCAGACUACAAUGAUACACAAAAUAAAUUAUUUUAAAACAAAAAUAAAGGGAGAAAUAACUGAACUGGCAGAUUUUCUUUUUGAAAGCAAACAUUAUGUUUAUAGGAAAAAAGUAUUAUUUCAAUUUUAACAUUACCUUAUCAUUUAAUAUAAUAUUAUCUUCCAUUCAGCUGGAAUUUUUCAUCCCAAAUAUCUGCUAUGUGAAUAUUACACCUUGUGGUCACCAAAUGUUUCAUGAUGACAUACCUGUAACUAUCAUAUCACUGGUUUGCAGUCAUCAACUGGACAGAGGAAUUAUCUUCAUGGGGGAAAAACUCCUCCUUGAGAAACCUUUCUUAAAACACGUUCAUUUUACAAAUUGAAUACAAAGGAGAUGAGUAAGAACAUUGGUGUGGGACAGCCCUUGGGGCAGUGCUGUGGGGACCAGCCACUCCAAGGCUUUGCCCUGGGUCCCAUGAGCUGCCUCUUGCACCCCAUUUGAUGGAACAUGCAGUCACACAGGAGCACAGGCCAGCUCUGCCCACAGGCCACAAAACUGCCUUUGUCUCAGUCUGCUCAUAAGUGACAAAUGAUGUGUUAACAGGAAAACACACCCUGCUAGUGUAUAAUCAGCAGUGCUUCAAAUACAAAGAAAAUUAAUGUUAUUUGCAAAACAAAGACUUAAUUACAGAUUUCAGUCUUGUGUAGCUAAAUUCUGCUGCAUAUAUGUCAUUGCAAACUUGAAUAAUGUACAUUUCCUUUUUAUUUAACAAUAUUCCUAAAAUGGAAGUGAAUUAAUAUUCAAAGUCAGGAAUGUUUAGAAUGUACAGGGCAGUCUUUCCAGCUGGUUCAUUGGCUCAUUUUGAAAAUCAUAAAUGUUAAUUAUUGUUGUAAAUAUUUGAGAAAAAAUACAAUAAUAAGGUGUAUUAUUAAAAUGUAGAUGAACAGGUUCAUGCUCCUCCCAGCCUCUUGAUUUGCUGGGAACCUAUGGAAAUUUGACGUGACGUGUUUCUGUGGGUUUGGAGGUUGGGGUGGGAAGAAGGGAGUAUGUGGCAACUCUUCCUUCUAACUCAUUUAGAGCUUUACUUGCCUACUAUUCCAUUUCUGCAUUUUUUUUCCAGGAAUAACACACGGGCAGCAUGAAAAUUAGUCUAAAUAAAAACUGAUCUUGCCGUUUUUAUGCUUUUUUUUUCCCUUUCCCCCCAUUUGGUUUUUGAAAGAAAAACAAAGAGAAAGUAGCUUUGGUAUUUACAGUACACUCGGAAAACAUUCUUUCUGGAAUUGAAUAUACUGAAAGAGAUCUACUGGCAUCUUGCAGAGACAGUAGUUAAAAAUCAGUAUGUAAUAAAAAGGGAUCACAGAUGAGCAGAAAGGAUGGAAGAUUUUCUGUAUUAAUGUGAUAAAAUAAUAGCUAAAUAUACUUCUAUGGUGCCUGCUACCAAAUGUUUAUGAUACAACAAACAGUACAACAGCUCUCAUCUUAGUUCUAUGAGGAAAGAGGAUAACACUGCUCCAUUACAUAGAGUAAAGGGAAAAAAAUUAACCAGUACAUGGAAGAGAGCUUUAGUUGGACUGCCAAGGAAUGAAGUCCACUGAAAAUCUAUCCCCAGUUCAAACCAGUGGCAAGUCUACCUGCUUGGGGCCUGCACACCCAGGUUUACAUCAUGCUCUGACAGGAGGGAGCGAAGAGCCUCAUUUUAGUGCCUGAUCUUCACAGGAAACAUCCAGUUAGAAAGUUUUUUUAAUUCAUGGUUUGGAUCAGAUGCAGAGAAAGAAAAUCUAGGUACUUACCAUCAAUUAUUAUUUUUGUGCCGCCAACAUUUAUGGAUUCAAUCUGAUCUUUCUUUUGAAGCUAGAAAUAAAGUUUGCACAAGAUUUAAUUAAUCAAACAAGUAACAUUCACAAUAUGAUGGUUACAAUUGCCAGAUCUAGAAUAGCUGAGGCCUUUUUAUAAUAUUUGUUACAGUUCUGUCUGACAUACAGUGAUUUCUAGCAGUUCUUGUGUUUAUUGUCUUGUUUAGUGUAUCAGUAAAGAAAGCUGAAAAUGAAAGAUAAAAUGCAUCUAAAGGGAAAUAGCAAUGCUUCAAUAUUUUGUCACACCCCAGAUAAUCCAUGAUAUAGAAACAAGAAUUACAGGCAGGGUUAUGCUCCCUAAAAGCUUUCACAAGUUCUUGUUCCAGUGGCAAUCUGUCCUGUUCCUAGAAAUAAAUCAGUAGGUUCAUGACUUUUUUGAUAACACCCUCUGUGAAUAUCACUCUUAUUCAGCAUAACAUAUUGAUUGAAGUCUGUUUCCUCAUGACUGAAUUCACAAGAAGAAAAUGCAUCAGUAUUAGUUUUAGAGCAAUGCUGUCACUCUUCUUCAGAUCAGAGAAAAAGACUGUACCUUCUUAUCCAAGAUCUUAAAACUGUGAUCUCAUUUUUCUAGAAUAUUUUGUAGUACGUUGCUUUCACACUUUGACUUUUAUUAUUUAAGGAAUACCUCCCUUGUUGCCUGUAUGGAUGACUUGACCUUUAUAACAAUUUCUGUCUGACAUAAAUACCAUAAAAUUACAUUCUUUGUUACUUGCAGACAAUUUUUUUCUUUCUCAAAGUAACCAAAGAAAACUUUAGGAGAAUGGUACUUGCUUGUUCCAAUCCUGACAUUCCACAUGCAGCUACAUGGAAAACACAGUCAACCCCUUCACAUGCUUUGAACACUGCUUCAUAGUCCCUCACAUCACCCUGUAAAAUGAGAAAAGAAUGGAGUUUUGACAGGCAGAGCUCCUUACAUUCUCUCUAGAACUAUAUUAACUAUGGCCAGUAAGGAAAAUCUAAAGCUAUUCUGGUCUAUUUUUCACAGUACUUAACAACAAUUAAAUAAAGCAUUAUGAACAAGGCAGAAAAAUCAAUGACUAAGAAUUUUGCCAGUAUUUUGUUGCAAAACAAAGAUGACUCUUGUUGGCUUUGAUUAUAACGCGUAUUUUCACGCUUACUCCUGCAGCCUCCAGGCUGGCAAAACUUGUUUGACUUGAAUGGGAGCAGCAAGGGCUGGAGAAUCGAGCCCCAGGGACAAUAAAUCACAGCAGGAAGGGUUCAGCUGUUUGCCUUGGAAUCACCAAAUAAGAGAACCCCAUUUCUGUUGGCACCUUGAGACCUGAUCUGUGCUGCCUUCACAAAUGUCUCUUUUUAAGGUUUAUUUGUGGUGCACUGUAUGAUAACUUUAAUUACAGUUUUACACAAGAGUGAAAACCCUAGUACACUCUAUAUGGAUUUAAUACUUUAUUUAGUGUACAUUAGUGUAUUACAAUCACAUUUAUGAAAUUCCAUUUAUCACUGGACACACCUGUAUCUAGUAUUAAAUGCUAUGGUGGGGUUAGAGUAUUAUAUUGCAUUUUUGUAUACCAGGUAAUGCUACAUUAACAGUACUCCCCAUACAUACAGAUAUCAAUGAAAAUAUAGUACCUUGGUGUUCAGAAUUCAGGUAUUUCCAAAUAUUAGAUACUAUAUUAUUUCCUGUAAUGAACUUGUCCUGAAAGGCUUUUCAGUAAAUGUUUUAAUCAAAGGUCCUUAAGAGGAAGCCUUGACAAUGAAGCAUCAGACAUGUAACAUACCUUGAAAAAAUCCGCUCCGCUUGGAAUUUCCCAUUUAGGUUUCCGUACAUCGAACAGCACAACAGCAACUCCUGAGCUAACGAGGGCACAUCCCAGAUUGUAUCCCAGGUAGCCCCCACCUCCUGUCACCAUUGUCCUGGUGCUCCUGGCAGCCAGCAGCCCAGCAGGCUCCGUCACUUGGCUCUCACAGGGUUGGCUGCUGUGGAGCUUUUCUGUGAACCCCUCUGGCAUCACGACUGCAACAGAGAAAUCUCUUGAAAAUUCCUGCAUAGUGCUCUGAGAUCUGGGUCAUUUCAAUUACUUUCACAUUACAAUGGUCCUAUACUAGUUUUAUUAUCUUAAUAUGUUUAAAAUGUAUAAAUACAUAAUUUCGCUGAUGGGCUAUGUAUAAUGUGUAAUGAGUCUGAAUACUUUUAUAUUCCAAGAUUUAGUCUUUUCCUCAUAUCACUAAAUGUCAUAUUAUAUAGAAUGAAGAGAAGUUACAGAAUUUUAGAGCCAUUAUAAUUACCUAACCUUAACAGCUAUGAUUGCAUUUUUGAAUGCUUGGUUCAAUCAAACAUUUUACCCUUGAAAACUCAUUAACUUCUGAUGCAUUAAUGCCAAAUAGAUGUUAUCCUACUACUCAGGAAAAUAAACCAAGACGUUAGAUAAGGAAUAUAAGGAAGGAUUCAUUCUACUUUUAAAAUUCACUUUAUUUCACAUUUGGGUCUUCAGCAAUGAUAAAAAUUUGUUACCAUUUUAAGCUUUUCUGGUUAUACAUGAAAUAUAUUCCGUUUUCUGUCCAGUUCUCACUAACUUUUGACCAAAAUUUUCUCGAUAGGCAUUCAAAGACAGCUAAACUGACAAGGGGCAGAAGAGAUAAGCCAUCUGCCCUGUGGGUUCAUCUACUUGGGAAAACGGAUUAGAGUAUCAUUCUAGGAUAACAACUCCAUGGGAGUUACCCAUCUGUACACCUUGUUCUGUAUUGCAAAUUGGUUUAUUCUACAUUAAUCACUUCUGUUUAGAAAUUCACUUAUCUUCUGUACCUCAAGUGACUGGUAUUCCAGACCACAGUGUUGUCCAAGAAAUGAGUCCAUUUAAUUCUCCCACACAGAGAGCCCCUGUUGUCCUAAUUCCAUGCUUGGCCUUUGCACAUUAGGAUCUAGGCCGUUACACCCCCAAACAGAAACCCAGAAGAAAUAAAUCUGAAAUCAGUCAUGUCACUGUAAAGUGGGAGCCAAACUGAGUGCCUGCAGGCUAUUACAGGAAUAUGGACCCAAUCUCUGCAGAUUAUUUUGGUUUUCUCAUAGGGGGAGAGGUCCUCAUAUGAGAGGAACCUCUUAGUUAAGUACAGCUCGCUCUCAGCCAUUUACACCAGGCUUCAGCAGAGCUCAGGCAGAAACUGGGCAUGGCUGGUAGCUGGCAUCUCUGUCACUUCCAGGGUGACAAAAAAAUUCUAGAAAAGUAACACAAAAUGCAGCCACAGCACACAAAAUUAUAGACUACCUUUGCUAUUGCUUAGUUAAUAUUUUAUAAUUUUGUUUGCAAUAUUUUUCUUAUUUUAUAUAUUGAUUUUUAGAUUUCAGACACAGGAAAUUACUGUAUUCUCCAUGCUGUUACGUGGCUUUAACACCAAUGUCAGUUCACUCAAUUCAGCAAAGUGAGUGGCAUAACAGUGUAAAACACAAGCUCCUUAUGUUGAAAAACAUCCUGACAUUUCAAAAAUGAAAAAUAAUCCACAUUUCAAAACAAAAUUUAAACUAGAACUAUUAUAAUACAACUAAAAAAAGUACGCUGUCUUGUUCAAGCAAGGAGACAUAAAUUUGUACUCCUGGAUUAUGCUACGCAGGAGUCUUAAGCCAUAUAAAAUUCUUUUGCCUUGUCUUCUGAGAAAAAGCAUCUUUUUAUAUACUGUAAGGAGACAUGAAGUUAAGCUUAUCACAUAUAUUACAAAAAGACAUUUGACAAAUGGUAUAUAUUUGAAUACUUGUCAUUAGUAUCUCAUGAAGAUUUAAGUAAGCUGGAGGUCACAUAAAAGAGUUUAAAGAUUUUUUUUUUUAGAAAUCUCUUAAAAAGCACUAAUAGCAUUAAUAUAUUAAUCUGCUUCAUGGAAUUAGAAAAUUGUUUUCAAAUUUCAAAUGUAAACAACUUUCUUCAAAAAAAUAAUUCUUUCCAGAAUCAGUAGCUCUUUUUUCUCUGAAUUUAUAGGAGCUAUUCUGAUUUAUUAAUGUAUUCUGCAUGAUAAGCACAGCUACAUCUCAUGCAGCACAUGCAGUGUGAGUUGCUCGUAGCUCCCCUACCGUCAUUUCAAAUACCAGAAGUGUUCUAAUUACUUCCCAUAAAAAGUUAAGAGUCAAACAUAUCAGAUAUUUAAAAAUAUCCAAAGUAGUAGUAAGUACCUGUGGUAGAAUCCUGCUGUCAGCACUGUCCCAGUCCUUCCUGUCCAGGUAGGAGGGUGAGAUCUCUCUUUGCUGGACAAUCCGUGACUCAAGGGCAUCAGGUACUCUCAGGCAGACAGAGAAGUUCACGUGUGCUCAGGCCUUUUGCUGUUCCUGCUCCUUUGUAGCUGGUGGUUGGGCUGGGAGCCAAAAAAGGGCAGGGCUUAAUUAGUACAUAAUUUAUGUUCCUUUUCAGGAAAAAAAAAAUUUCUCCACAUCAGACCAUUCUUAACAGCAUGGUACCUCUCACUGACCUGGUAAAAGUGUACGACACUACACAACAUAAAUAUACCCUUGGUAUAUUGUUAUUCUGUAGAUAAACUGUACUAGAGUUUUCCUGUAGAUAGAGAAGAACUGUACUAGAGAAGAAACAAAAAUCCUGUUUGGCAGUGCUACACAGCACUUUCAUCCUGACUUUUCUAUCUCCAUCCCCAACCCAGUUUUGUAUUUGCAGAGAGGCACAAGGGUUGUUCUCUGCCUUCCAAGAUGAAUGAAGGUAAUAAACUACCUUGUGCACACCAGAACAGGAAAAGGUGAUUUACUGUUAAAUAAUGCAUUUAAAAUGAAGGAUGAAUUAAUGAAAUUAUUAAUAAUUAUUUAUGUUCUCUGUCCUAAGGUUUUAAAGCACUUUUAAAACACAUAUGCUUUUGCAAAUUAAACAAUGAGAAAUCAAAGCCAACAUUUUUAAAUGGGUGUGUCUAAAAUUAAGUCUCAAAACAGUAGUUAAGAUGCUAAAGAAACACUCCCACAUCUAAAUAUAAAUUACUACAAUUUUCAGUGUUGGCAUGUUAGAAAUAUCUCAAGUUCAUAGGUAACCAAUUGCAAUUUAAAUGUAAUUUAAUGUUCAUGUGCUGACAAGAACUCAAACUGACACCUAGGAAAAUGUAUCUUAGCAUAACGUGUAUGUUCCAAAGUCCCUACAGUCGGCAUUAGAACUGGCACCUUUGAACCUGUCAAAUUAAUCUGCACUUCUUGGAUUGCUGGGUGACAAGCUCAGCUCACAGUAAAACCCCCAAGAACACCAAAUUCUCUGUUUUGAGCUGUCCACAGCACUGACAGUUUUCCCCAUUUAAUGCAAGAAAUAAAGUGCCCAUUCUCUCGCUGAACUAUUCCAGAGCUCCUUCACAAGUCAAAGCAGCUGGUCAGCUUAUUCAGGGGAUAUCAAUCCCUCACUCUUCAGUGAAAUUUAACAAAAGAGUAUUUUAACUUGGCUUUGGUUUCCACCUUGGCAAGAAGGGGACAUCUCAGAGGAGUUCUCAGAACUGGUAUUUUGUACCUCUCCUGUUAUGCUUAUUCUCUUACCUUUAGUAAAGAGGGGUGCCCAUAUUUUAUUCAAUGAAUCCUGCUUAGUAUUUCUGAAAGAAACAGAAGCUAAAGUUACAAGGAGAAAAGCUGCUGCAUUAAGAUUGGAGCUUGCUUUUGGUCUUGAAUCACAAUUCUAUACUGCCUUUUUCUACUUUUUCUCCUGUGACCAGUCAUAGGUCAUGUAGGCACAUAGAAACAAACAAAACAUCCAGUACUUGUAGCAGAUGACUAUAAAAUACAGCACGAAGGUGUCAGACAGUUUGUCCAUUUAUUUACAUGGAGAAGGUCCACAUUUCUGAAAUGUUGUGUUGGCUUACCAAAAUGUUACUGACAUCCACAUGGUAAAGCAAUGUUGAAAUGUAAUUGCACUGUUUCAUAGAGGAACCCAGGAACUUACACAAGUUCAUUUCAAAUCACAUGCUGGUAGAGCCAAGCCUGAAUUGAGUAAGGAGGAUUUGGCAUAAGACAGACAAGACAAUCUCUGUCUCCAGCAUACAAAGCCUGGUCCCUGUGCUAGUUCCGGGCACUGCUGGGUCCUGGACCCCAGCGGGGUUUCAAACCAUGGCCCAGAAGGCAGAUGUGGAGACCAGGUCUGAGUCUCUGUCACUCAACAGGUCCUGUGAACUUCACAGCUCUGCCCUCCCAGGCCACAGAACAGGAGCUGUGCUCCAGCUGUGAGCUAACAGGAACCUGAAGAAUGGUUUUCAAGUGUGGCAGAUACUAUGCAGAAAGGAGCCUUUAACAGACGUAACCAGAGCAUGAAGAGCUUGACAGAGGUGUGAGUUAAGGUGACAGCCAGAUAUUUGGCGUGAGUCACAGGCAGGAUGGGACAUUCUGGAGGGCCCAAAGGCAGAGGAAUAGCAGAAAAGAAGAGACUAAGCUCUCUUAAAGCUACUCAAGGACAGGGUUUUGCUGAAAUAGCUGCAAUAUAAAAAAUACCCUCUCUUCAUUUAACUUACUAAAAUUUUCAGAAUCUAAGCCCUCAAUUAGUAGAGUUGUCCAAGCUUGCCAUGUGUUUGAGCACCUCCUUGUGCACUUGUUCACAUGCAGAUGCCCCAUCACAGGUACUGACAGUUUGUGAACUCAGAGUGGUGAGACUCGUUUGGACAGGGUGCCAGAGCACUGAUCCCCUCUGCAGCUCCAGAGGAGUCUGGGCAGAGCUGUUGUAGGGUGUAAGUACUUCUGACUAAGGGUACUUAUCUCUUUGUGACUACAAAAACAAUCACCCUCAUAACAAGGACUGAGUCUAAAACAGCAGAGAGCCGAGAGAAGGGAACUGUCAACAGUAAGAUGUUCACUCUUUAUGUGAGAGAAGAUAAAAAAUAUUAAAAAACAUUUAAAUCAGGUCUUGAAAUGUUAAUGGAAAAGAGGAAAAGAAUAGAACUCUAAUUAUGUCUAGCUGUGCUUAUAAUUUUUGGUCAAAAAGAUAAAUCAUGGGAUCUGAAUUUGUGAAAGGAAGCUUCAGAAUAUUUUUCAUAUAACCAAAUGCUAAACAUUGGUACAUAUCAAAUAUUUCUAAGGCAUGAAGUCAUCCUUAAAAACGCUUACCAACACAACAUUAAUGCAACAACAAAUAUAAUACCCAAAGUGUUAUGAUAAUACAACAUUCUUCACAUUCCUUGCUAAGUUAGAGGAGUAAGACACAGAGGCAAAGCAACUUACCCAUGUCAUGCUCUAAGUCCAGGCCAGAAAUGAAAAGAAGAUGCAGAUCCUUAUUCCUCGCUGCAAAGCUAAGAGAUCAGGUUCUUCUUAAAUCCCUCCAUUCUUCAUUAACAUACAUAAAUAUUCUCUCUCCUUCCUUUUCCCUGCUUCUUUGUGUAUUUGUGUUACAGUUCUGCAUAUUUCACUGUUUCCUCAUGGAGGGAAUAAAGCACACAUAAAUACAGCCUUGGAACGUGCCACAUAAAAUGCUUUUCAAAUGACUUUGUUCUCAUUUCCUUUGCGUUCGUGGUUACUUUGCAUGUUACACAGAUUGAUUUACAGGUCAAAUGAAAUGAUAACUCUGAGCCUGCAUUGCCAAGUCAGGAUGGAAUUACAGGAAGAAACAAAGCAACUUCUCACAGCACCAAUGAACAUCCCUGUAUUAGCCCUUGGGUCUUGUUAAAGAAGAGGAGAGUUUAUGCAAAAUUUGAAGGGAAGGAAUACAAAUGCAUCAUAAAUAAAAAUACUGUGUUACAUUGUACUGAAUAAAGGCAUGUUUCUAUACAAUUAGCAGGGAUCACAGCCUGGCUUGCUACACACAGGAAUCAGAGACAACAAAAGUGUCAAACAAACUAUACAGAUGCAAGUUUGAAAGAGAUUAUAACCCCACUUCCAACAGGUUUGUUAUUUGCUAGUUUUUUCUCUAUUUGGAAAAGCCUUGGUACCACGUUGGGAGUGGCCAUGGUGACAGAGGCAGCCCAUGUCACUGAAAGGAUAUAAACUUGUGGCUUACAAGGUCUGCCUAAGCUACUGACCAAAUUCUGGGUAGCAUUUAAGAUUCUAACAGAUGAAGUCUCAUAUAAUAUGAGUCAGGGAUUAUCAGUCUCCUUAUAAAUUACUUCUAUACUUAAAACCUAAAUGAUCAUUAUUGUAACAGACAGGGAAGGAAAAGGGUAUUUUCUGAUGCUGGCAAUUUUCUGGAAUUGAAUUUUCCCUUCUUCCUCUCUCUUCAUAUUAUUUAACUAAUCAGGAAGCAAACAUCUCAUAAGCAUCUGUUUGAGAUGGCUUCACAGAGGAUCAAAGUUCAAUGGAAUGAAAUAUACACCUGAUAUACAUCUGAUUUAGAUGCAUUUAAAUGAUUCAGUGAAAAUUCCAGUGACUUAGUCGUAUUGACACAUUUGGGUGCCUAAAGUCUUGGAACUUUGUGGUUACAGAUCUAGAUACAUGCUACUAAUAGCAACAUGCUUACAGGACACAGAGAAAUUCUUACUGAACAGAAUUCUAAAGGACACCACACACUGCCAUUACCUUCCUUUGAAGCAGCAUGAACUGCUGGGGGUGACUCAAAUUCAGGCAUAUUUUGAUGGAGGAAUUUGUUACUUGGCCAAGCUGUCCCACCCCUCUUCUGGAAGCUGUCCCCUGAAGCAGCUAAGGCUGAACCAUGCACAAAGGAGUUCCUGAACUGCCAGUCCUUGCUAAGGAAUGGUUUGUGAACAUCUGCACCAGUUAAACCCAGCUCAGCAGCUGGAAACUGGAAAUUAUAGCAGUACAUGAGCUGCUCCACACGGAAAUUCCCAGCUGUGAAAGCAGCACUCUUUUGAAGGGGGUCGCACACACGUGGAGGUAGUAACUGCUUUAGCCAUUUGUCUUUAAUUCAUUGCACACAAAUCAGCAUAUUCAGUGAGUCACAGCAAUGACAUGACUUGCAAACGAGCUGGCAGAAAAAUAUGCAUUUGGUCAAUUAUAAAACUCCUCUUUUAUUAUGUCUUGAAUACAGUGAGUUGCAUUCCAGCAAGCACAAACCAGGAAAGCAAAUGACACAGAGCUGACAGAUCGACACUGAGGUCACAAACCGAGUAUUACUCAGGUCAUCCCCACUGAGGCAUCUGCUGAAAAUGUCUUCCUGGCUGAGCAGCCCUCAGACUGAUAGGAGCACGUAGGAUGGGAGUUUCCAGGUAGGUAGUAAGGAGACAGAAUCUGUAUUUUAAAGGAAGGAGCUGCUCUGAGGAGGUAGCAGGGCUGACCAGCCUGCAAGACCACAUGGCUUCGGCUGCACAGGCUGAACACACAAAAGAAGAGACCUUGGAUGGGGUGCAAUGGCUCAAUGCUGUAAUAUCUGACUAUUUUACAGCUUCUGUGCUCAUACAAAUUCUAACAUCAACACUUGCUCCUUACUUUUCAUUGCAUUUUUCUUAACAGGAGGCUGAGAAGCCCUUAGCUCACACCACCAGCAAGAGAAGGCUCUGGGUUCCCAACACCUACUUCGAGUGUGAGAUCAUGCUCAGGAGAACCAGAGCAACGUGCUGUGCUCUGCCCACAGAAACAAACGCCCAGUCCAAGCUGAAACAAACAGCUCAGUGAUGAGUAUUCAUGUAGGCUGCCCCAAAUUUAGGGUUACAGAUCCACUAUCAGCCAACGGAGACACUGUGUAAAUGCAAUUGUUUUGAUGGAGUAAAACCUCUGAACACCAAAUACUGUAUGGUGGGAAAAAGACCCUGACAAUUGCAAUCUAACACAACAGACUGAAAUACUCUGAUGCUUAUCCACAUUUGCAAAAUCCAACAUGUUCAUUAUGAUCUUACUUCACAAAGAGCCUCUGAUACCACACACCUGCAUAAGUGUAAUUCAUUUUAAGUUCUUUUAAAGUACUUUUAUAGGAAUGUAAGAAUCUAUGCUGCAGUACUGUGACAUUUCUUAAAUCCUCCAAGGAACUAAUAAGAAACCCUUUUUGGCAAUACAGAAAGCUCAUCCUUUCUACCUGGAUUUACUGUUUUAACAUUUCUGUUAGUACAAAUCCUCAUUUUAUCAGUGAUCAUCAUCUAGUAUUUCUAUACCCCAAACAGAAAUGUAACCAAUCCUGUUAAUUUACAAUUAACAUUUUCAUAUCAAAUCAUUUCAGCAGUUACAGACAUCCACAAACAAAAUCACAGAAGGUGAUGCAUAGCACAAAGCACCAGUUUAACUGCAGUAUUCCAGUGAAGGCUGGUACUAACAAUGGAAGGCUGGAGUCACCUGGCUCAGAGCAUACAACAGUAAAAAGAUACAUUUAUGAUAGAAAUAAUCUUCAAUUCUUUGUAGAGAUAAAAGAGAUAAAGGGACAGAAAAGACACCAUCUCCCAUAUCACAGGAUACCCAGUCAUCCCCAUAAGCUGGCACUCAGGAGAUGCAAAUGGCUCUGAAUAAACACAGAUCGAGUAUCUGAAUUUUGAAGUCUGAAUCCAUUUUUAUUAUAUUACAUACAUUAAACACCUGAGAUGAAUUUCUAACCCUCUAAAAGACAACGGUGAACGUCUACAAAAUACUAAUGAGCUGUCAUUACAGAAAUCAGUAAAAAACAAAUAUAUUUCAUAAAUCAACUAGCACUAGCAAACAUAUUUUAAAUCUUUCUAGACAGGAACUGUGUAAGAACAGAAUUGCUCAGAAGAUUGGCAGUGUCUGGUUAUACAGACACAACCAGGCUACACCAGCAACAGGGUAUUACUUUCUUGCAUGUCUGAUAAUUUCUGAAUCAUCAACUCUAAAUCUUUCUUUACUGCCAACAUGAAAAGCAAAGAGUUGAAAUAAUUAUUAGCAAAACUUCUCUGUGCAAAACCAUGAAUUACAAGCUUUGUUUUCUGCACUAAGGUUAUUUCUUGGACUUUCUAUGCAAAACUGGCAUAAAGAAUUCUCUUCCUAACAUCACAGCCAUCUGUCCCAACUAUUAUGGAUAAUAAGCACCGGCAAAGAAAUCUCAAACCAACUGACAAAAAAGACAAUUUAGGCAUACCAGCAACUAAUUGAAGGAAUUAUUAAUAUGAUGAGUAGAAGAGAAACAAAAGUUGUGACCCUGUGUAACUACUGGUUAUUUUAGAAAUACAUACACUUUUAAAAUUUGUAUUAGCUAUAUUGAAAACUAUCCUCUACUUAUAUUUAAACUUCGUAGAGUUCAGGGCUUGAUUUACUUUGAAUCCUGCAAAAUCUGCAGGUGGAGUCAGUGCAGCACUUACCAUCUGCACCUUCUUGUCUUGCCAGCACUUGUGACAACAAAGAAUAAAUCUUCUCUUUUUCUUCUUGAAGCUGGAAGCUCUGAGCACACUUUGAAAAGAAGCAGAACUAAGUUGCAAUGAAACAAAAGAAACCGAUUUAUUGAACAUACAUCUUCAUCAUCCAGCCCCUCUGUCAAUAUUCUGUGUGCUGCUAAUUGUCCAUCUUCACCUCCAGAACUGCAGUGGAAGCGCCCUCCUGUUUGGGAAGCAAGCUUCUUGAGGAAUUCUACAGCUUCUCUGUUAGUACAAAGUAGAAAGCUAAUUAUGAAAAUUAUUUCUCUGAAAGCAACAGCAAAAGAAUUUCUAAAAACUCCUCAAAAAUAUUACAUCGAAACAAAUAGACUGGAGGACAUGAUUAUAAACUCCUGUAUGAAAUGGAGGCCAUGUGGCAAUUACCUGUGUCAGAACAAACUUCCCCAGUACCAUCUUGGUAGCACAGACUUCUGACAAUAAAUAAAGUAGUAAUUUUAAGAGGUUUUUUGCUGUUCUUGAGAAGUAUCAUAUACCUGUCUGCACAGCUAAAAGAAAUGGUGUGGAUUUUAAUAUCUUGUUUCUUUCUCAGUCUUCCAAUUUCUUUCAAAAUCAGACUGCAACUGGUGUCUGGUUUCCCAUCAGUCAAUAGAUACAGUGCCUCUACACCUUGGAAACUGAAAGCCUUCUGAAAAGCAGAAAAUAAACUUAAAUAAUUGGUACAUUUAUAUGAAAAGUUAUACUUCAGAACAAAAAUCCAAUGAUUUAAGAUAGUUUUAUAUGUGCCACAUCAUUAAUCAAUUUAGUUUUGUCUUUUCAUUUUCACUAAUUAGGAAGGAGAUCAAGGAUAUAAAUUUGGAAAUUUAAGUAGAUAAUUUGUAGCAUAAGACAACAUAUUUAUAAGCAGGGCAUUGCCAAAACCUGACUCACUGAAAUAAGAAAAUGAACUGGUUUAAAAGAUUUUUACAUCAUAUUUUAUGGGAGUUAAAGAUGUUUAAUGUCUGAAAAUCAGGCUCACUAGGACUUGAAUGAAUAUUAUGCAAAUUUGCUACAGUAAUUGACUCAGUGGACAUCUUUGUAUUACAGACAUGGCUUACAGCUCUACUGGACCUGAUUCAUGAUGAAUGCCAUAACAUUUAUAAAGAGAUUGUGCAAGGAUGUCUGGAAGAAGAAUCAUUCAUUAAAGGCAACAUUUCUGUUUUGAUUUCAAUUUUAAAUCUCAUAAAUUGCAAAUUCAGUUUUAAGUUAUUAUUACUAGUAAUUUCUACACUGAGUAUUUUUAUACGAGAAAAGUUUCUUCACUUGUAACUGAAGUUCAAGAAUUGUUCUCAAAACCCAUGAGAUUCCAACAAACACUGCUUAUUUAAAAUCCUGUUUGGGUUGGAGCAACAUAUCACAGCCACAGCUGUACAUAAGCAUCACUUGGAGCUCCUGGCUAUUUUCCCUCUCCAGUAUUCUUUCAACACAAAUAUUAACAAAACUAUUGAUAUUUGACUUUUUUCUAAAACUUAGUACGAGCAAUUAAUUCAAGUAUCUAUGAGCCUUGAGGCCAGAAACAGUGACUUAAUUUCUAAACUGUUCCAUGAUUUGCAUAUAAAAAGGUUGUACACUUUGACAUAAUUUUCCUAGAACAUUACCAGUCAGGUGGGAGUGUUUUACCACCACAAGACACACUGUGUUCUCCAAGCUGUGGCCCACCAACCUGUAAAGCUGCAAGCAUGCAGGAGUUGCCAUGAGCAUGGCAUGUGGAAGCCCACUGCACAGCAUCAUGGCAGGUUUCAUCAGUUGCCUCUACAAGAUACUCUUUCCAACUCUCUGUAUUUUCUGCAAAUCUCAGCAGGUUAAACCUGAGGAGAAAGAUGACCCACAACAUUUAACCCUAACCAAUGCGAUGAGUCACUAUGGAUAAGCCAGUUUUGAAAUAAGUAAAUAAAUAAAAAAAACCAAACCCAAACACAAACCCAACAGCAAAAAAACCCAAACCCAAUCACUGUCCCCCCCAGUCCAAGAGCCUAGUGUUGGAUUCAGAUGUUCAGCCUUGGAAGAGUCAAAAAGCAUAUCUUACUUUGCAUGAACAGAAUAUCUAUGGGAAUGCUGACCCUAAAAGGGUAAACAGCAUCAGCCUAUGGCAGAGGCUCAGAUCUUAGAGAGUUUACAACUAAAAACUGGUAAAAGCAACAGAAAAAGCAGUUCUUGUCACAUGCACACUAUAACAUAUAAUAAUUACCUGAAUUGUGUUUCAGUGGUGUAUUACUGUAAUUAUUAAGCAAUUUGAUUACAUAAUAAUGAGUGCAGAUUUCAGUCUUUAUCAGUCAUUCACCAUACCUGACUUCAUUUUUUCUCAGCUGUUCCCAGAUAAGGGAGGUAAGUUCUUUUGUGAUGGGUGGCAAAUAUGGGUCCAUGGAACCAGAUGUAUCAAUCAAAACACAGACAUUUGCUUCUAAAAUGGUACCAAACAAUCUUCGGCUGCCUGGGCCACAACAUUGAAACUAAUUAAGAGUUAUUCCAUAGGCUUAUUUUAUUGAGCAUAAUGUAAAUCUUCAGAUUUUAGGGGUAAUUCUGGCCACAUUUCUACAUAAUUAAGUCUAAUCUAUGUGGCAAUUAGGUAGUUAAAAGGUUAAUAAUAGAAAAGUCUUCUGCCAUUUCAAAUCUAGCACUAUCAAGCAUUAAUUACUACCUAAUUGUGGUAACUCACAUUAAAUAAUUUGUAACUCCUUUACAAUCCAGCAAAAAAUUAAACUGUUUCCCAACAAAGAUCUUUAUGAGCAACAGAGAGAUCAAAAUACCCUUCACCAGCAGUGAUGCUGAACUUCUAAGCAGGGCACAUUCUUAGCAAAACAUGCAGAAAAGCUAAUUUUGCUUGUAUAUGUUACUGUAUAUAUGCUGUUGAUAGAAAGCUUUGCUCUGUAUUCAUGAACACACAAAGAGCAAAAGCUGUUUGACAGCAAGCUAGAUGUUCAUCAGCUGCACAGAUGCUGAAUUCUCUUGUAUUCACAAAAACAAGUUUUAAAAUUUCAAUGAAAUGCAAGACAGAGAACCUUUAUUCCUAUUGGAGGUUCAGAUUGAUGUUCAGAUGUAUUCUACCAGAAACAGCAGACAAGAAGGGUUUGUGUAUAUUUGAGUUGUGCUUUACAGAAAACCAGAGGCACACCAAUACCUGAGAGAAGCCACUGCAUUCUCUGGAUAUAACGCUGCAACACCUUCCCCAGUUGUUCUGUGUAGAUUUCCAGUUCUCUGGGGUGGAACUGCAGAUGCUUCACCACCCCCUGGAAAAAUUCAGUUUGUACAAGAGCAUCUUACUUUAGGAAAUCUGAGCUCAGCUGCUGCAUAUGGAAUGCUGGCAUUAGAAAUCAGGGAGUUUUUUGUCUUUACAUCUAUGAAAUAGGGUAAGAAAAAUUCUGUGACUCUGUUGCUUGCAUUUAACUGUCUAUGCUUCUCUCCAGUCAUUACACAAACUGAAACAACCAAGAUCUAAUAUUCUCCCAGUUUCAACUCAUGCAUGAUUUUGAAAAGUUUUACUUAAAUUUCAAAAAUUGUUUUCAUACUGUAUGAGCAGAGGAGAUGCUGCACAUUCUAAAGAACAUGCAGUUUGGACUUCAAACAUACUCAGUGGCUCUUUGUGGUGAAUAAAAGACCUUCUCCAGCUUUCUACUAGAAGUAUGAUUUAGAAAGAACAGGGAAGGGUGGAGAGAAUGUCACACUAGAAAGCCAGAAACAUCAAUCAACAUUCACUACACAAGGCCUUUUAAUAAUGUAGGUACCUGACAUCUGCAAAACCUACAUUGAUUUCUGCACUGGGGAAGAUGGAACAGUAUUUUGCUGAUACUUUCUUGUGCAGAGACUCCACAGUUUUCUUCUGGUGGGUACAGCCUGGACCAAACAUCAGUCUGGGCAAUUCCAGUUUAAGUUUUUUAAUACUGUACUUGCUCAGCCACUUGUAAGACAAACAAAUAGAGCAACAGAUUGUUGGCAAAUAUUAGAACAGUUUAAGUAAUAGGACAUUGUGCAGAAUCACAAUUAAUAUUUACAUUAAUUCAGAGGGAUAGUUCCAAAAUGGCAAUUAAUUAAUAAGGAGAAAAAUACCUCUUUGCUUGAAGAGAUUUCCUCUUCCUCUGGCAAUGUGACAGAGGAAACAGAUUUUCUUAUGCACUUUGCCUUUGGAUACUUCUGAUAUACUGUACCUAUUUAAGGAAUGAACAAAGUAGCUAAAAAAUUAUUUUUAAAAAUUGUCACCUUCAAAAAAUUCCAAACCAAACAUCCUGUAAUCAUCUAAAUCAUAAUCACAGCACUUUUCCUGGGAGCACCUUUGACCAAAAGAUUCCUAAGGACUUUACAAAAGAAAAACCAAAAAAAAAAAAAAAGGGGGGGGGGGGGGGGGGGGCAAAAAGAGGCACCCACCUGCACCCAAAC